ACAAAACACCUCUGGCAAACUCCGACUAUGAGCCCUGCGGAUUGUGGGUUACUGCUCCUAUGGCUGCUACUGAGGGCUACCGCUGGCAGCUGCUCUGAGCGCGCAAAGUAGGAGAGGUGGAAAGGAGGCAGGACAGAGCAGAGCUGUCUCCUUGACUUUUUAAGAAAUAGCGUUCAAACUACAGCCCAGACAAAGGUCCAAAAAGUGGAACUCACAAAAGCAACUGGCAUUGCGCCGGCUUGCUCCAUUGAUGACCCUUCCCCAUCUCACAAAUUGUGCCUCCAGUCUAUUCUGCCCAUCUGCCCCUGCUGUGUUUUGUCUGUCAUCUCUACGGCUUGCAUUCAGCUGUUUUUUGCACAUUACCUGCCAGCACCAAGUUUUUAUUGAUUUGUUGUAUCUUUUUCAAUAAACCUCUUAAGUUCUA